rnacentral:ncRNA from 1 species
AGGAGUGUGUAACAACUCACCUGCCGAAUCAACUAGCCCCGAAAAUGGAUGGCGCUGAAGCGCGCGACCCACACCCGGC